rnacentral:rRNA from 1 species
GGCUACACAUGCAAGUCGAGCGGCAGCGGGAAAGUAGCUUGCUACUUUUGCCGGCGAGCGGCGGACGGGUGAGUAAUGCCUGGGAAAUUGCCCAGUCGAGGGGGAUAACAGUUGGAAACGACUGCUAAUACCGCAUACGCCCUACGGGGGAAAGCAGGGGACCUUCGGGCCUUGCGCGAUUGGAUAUGCCCAGGUGGGAUUACCUAGUUGGGGAGGUAAUGGCUCACCAAGGCGACGAUCCCUAGCUGGUCUGAGAGGAUGAUCAGCCACACUGGAACUGAGACACGGUCCAGACUCCUACGGGAGGCAGCAGUGGGGAAUAUUGCACAAUGGGGGAAACCCUGAUGCAGCCAUGCCGCGUGUGUGAAGAAGGCCUUCGGGUUGUAAAGCACUUUCAGCGAGGAGGAAAGGUUGAUGCCUAAUACGUAUCAACUGUGACGUUACUCGCAGAAGAAGCACCGGCUAACUCCGUGCCAGCAGCCGCGGUAAUACGGAGGGUGCAAGCGU